rnacentral:rRNA from 1 species
AAGUUUGAUGGCGACCGGCGCACGGGUGAGUAACACGUAUCCAACCUGCCGAUGACUCGGGGGAUAGCCUUUCGAAAGAAAGAUUAAUACCCGAUGGCAUAGUUCUUCCGCAUGGUGGAACUAUUAAAGAAUUUCGGUCAUCGAUGGGGAUGCGUUCCAUUAGGUUGUUGGCGGGGUAACGGCCCACCAAGCCUUCGAUGGAUAGGGGUUCUGAGAGGAAGGUCCCCCACAUUGGAACUGAGANACGGUCCAAACUCCUACGGGAGGCAGCAUG